rnacentral:rRNA from 1 species
UAAAGGCAAAAGAGAGCUUGAUUGCAAGACAUACAGGUCGAGCAAGGAUGAAAAUCGGACUUAGUGAUCCGGUGGUUCUGCGUGGAAGGGCCAUCGCUCAACGGAUAAAAGCUACCCUGGGGAUAACAGGCUUAUCUCCCCCAAGAGUCCACAUCGACGGGGAGGUUUGGCACCUCGAUGUCGGCUCAUCACAUCCUGGGGCUGUAGUAGGUCCCAAGGGUUGGGCUGUUCGCCCAUUAAAGUGGUACGCGAGCUGGGUUCAGAACGUCGUGAGACAGUUCGGUCCCUAUCCGUCGCAGGCGUAGGAAAUUUGAGAAGACCUGUCCUUAGUACGAGAGGACCGGGAUGGACGUACCUCUGGUGUACCAGUUGUCCUGCCAAGGGCAUGGCUGGGUAGCUAUGUACGGAAUGGAUAAGCGCUGAAAGCAUCUAAGCGCGAAGUCAACUUCAAGAUAAGAUUUCCCACCGCAAGGGUAAGACCCCAGAAAGACUAUCUGGUUGAUAGGUCGAAGGUGUAAGUGCAGCAAUGUAUUUAGCUUAUCGAUACUAAUAGGUCGAGGACUUGACCAAU